GAAAUGAACGCUGGCGGCAGGCUUAACACAUGCAAGUCGAGCGGAGUGAUGGUGCUUGCACUAUCACUUAGCGGCGGACGGGUGAGUAAUGCUUAGGAAUCUGCCUAUUAGUGGGGGACAACAUCUCGAAAGGGAUGCUAAUACCGCAUACGUCCUACGGGAGAAAGCAGGGGAUCACUUGUGACCUUGCGCUAAUAGAUGAGCCUAAGUCGGAUUAGCUAGUUGGUGGGGUAAAGGCCUACCAAGGCGACGAUCUGUAGCGGGUCUGAGAGGAUGAUCCGCCACACUGGGACUGAGACACGGCCCAGACUCCUACGGGAGGCAGCAGUGGGGAAUAUUGGACAAUGGGGGGAACCCUGAUCCAGCCAUGCCGCGUGUGUGAAGAAGGCCUUAUGGUUGUAAAGCACUUUAAGCGAGGAGGAGGCUCUUUUGGUUAAUACCCAGAAUGAGUGGACGUUACUCGCAGAAUAAGCACCGGCUAACUCUGUGCCAGCAGCCGCGGUAAUACAGAGGGUGCAAGCGUUAAUCGGAUUUACUGGGCGUAAAGCGCGCGUAGGCGGCCAAUUAAGUCAAAUGUGAAAUCCCCGAGCUUAACUUGGGAAUUGCAUUCGAUACUGGUUGGCUAGAGUGUGGGAGAGGAUGGUAGAAUUCCAGGUGUAGCG
rnacentral:rRNA from 1 species